GCUGGGCGUGGUGGCACACGCCUGUAAUCCCAGCAGUUCUGGAGGCUGAGGCAGGAGAAUUGCAAGUUCAAAGCCAGUCUCAGCAACAGUGAGUGAGGUGCUAAGCAACACAGUGAGACCCUGUCUCUA
rnacentral:sRNA from 1 species